rnacentral:rRNA from 1 species
AGCAGCCGCGGUAAUUCCAGCUCCAAUAGCGUAUAUUAAAGUUGUUGCAGUUAAAAAGCUCGUAGUUGAAUUUCGGGAUCAAUAUAUUGGUCAUGCUUAGGUAUGUACUGGUAUUAUUGAUUUCUCCCUUCUGAAGAACCAUGAUGUCAUUAAUUUGAUGUCGUGGGGAAUCAGGACUGUUACUUUGAAAAAAUUAGAGUGUUUAAAGCAGGCUUUCGCUUGAAUACAUUAGCAUGGAAUAAUGAAAUAGGACGUUUGAUUCUAUUUUGUUGGUUUCUAGGAUCGACGUAAUGAUUAAUAGGGAUAGUUGGGGGCAUUAGUAUUCAAUUGUCAGAGGUGAAAUUCUUGGAUUUAUUGAAGACUAACUACUGCGAAAGCAUUUGCCAAGGAUGUUUUCAUUAAUCAAGAACGAAAGUUAGGGGAUCGAAGACGAUCAGAUACCGUCGUAGUCUUAACCAUAAACUAUGCCGACUAGGGAUCGGAUGAUGUUAAUUUUUUAAUGACUCAUUCGGCGCCUUACG